rnacentral:rRNA from 1 species
CGGGUGAGUAAUGUCUGGGAAACUGCCUGAUGGAGGGGGAUAACUACUGGAAACGGUAGCUAAUACCGCAUAACGUCGCAAGACCAAAGAGGGGACCUUCGGGCCUCUUGCCAUCGGAUGUGCCCAGAUGGGAUUAGCUAGUAGGUGGGGUAACGGCUCACCUAGGCGACGAUCUCUAGCUGGUCUGAGAGGAUGACCAGCCACACUGGAACUGAGACACGGUCCAG